UACGUAGGUGGCAAGCGUUGUCCGGAUUUAUUGGGUUUAAAGGGUGCGUAGGCGGCCCUGUAAGUCAGUGGUGAAAUACUCUAGCUUAACUAGAGGGGUGCCAAUGAUACUGCAGGGCUUGAGUACAGAUGAGGUAGGCGGAAUUGACGGUGUAGAGGUGAAAUUCGUAGAUAUUGGGAAGAACACCGGUGGCGAAGGCGGCGACCUGGUCCGAUACUGACGCUGAGGCGCGAAAGCGUGGGGAGCAAACAGG
rnacentral:rRNA from 1 species